rnacentral:lncRNA from 1 species
ACCUUUUGACCUUGACCUAAUUUUCAUUUUUUUGGACCAAGGAUCUUAAAUCAAAAGACCCUAGGUCUCUAUCACUUAUAGUUUACCAGUUAGAAAUGCAUAUCACUGAUAUCAUAUAUAAAAGGGGGGAUAACUCUCAUAUGGAGUCUCCGGAUAGCUUCGGUUGAAAUGAAACAGAACAUCCUAAGGAUAUAACGAGCAAUUUGGAUAAAUAAAUUUGUCGGUUUCUUAUACGGUCGCGAAGGAGUAGUGGCCACAAGAAAAACAGUGUUCGGGGAGAUAACUCUUACAAGGUAAAGUUUUUUGUUACGCGGUGUCAGUUUCAGAAGCCUAUUAACUGUUGAUAUCAUUUACCUUAUAUCUAAGCGAUAUCUUGUGAAAACAAAAAAACAGCGAAGGAAAAAAAGUUGGCGGAAGAAAAAAAAAAAAAAUUAAAAACCAAUUGUUCAAAGAACAAUUGAAGGUCUUUCAACCAAUAAGGAUCUAUUUUGAUAUGAAAAUAUUAAAAUUCAGUUGAAAAUGUCAGUUCCUAUGGCUUAAUGAUGUAUAAAUAUGAAUUUUAAGCAAAGGUCAAAAUCUAGAACGUCCAAUUAACCUAUGACCUUGACCUCAAUUUCAAGGUCAUAGACUAAACAUCUCAAAUAAAAAGACACUAGUUCCUUAAUAUGUAUGGUUCAUGAGUAAAAUCACUUUACGCAUAAUUCUUAAUAUAAGAGGGGCGAAAACUCCCUUUUAUUGUUUACGCACCCUCGCAAACCAAAUUUAUAAGUAACGACAUGUCGUAACUAACAAUUUAGUAAAAAGAAAUUGUCGAUAUCUUAUAAGGUUGAUGAAAAAAGGUGAAAAUAAGCCAAAAUCAAAAUUAAGAAUUUGACCUUGACCUUUGACCUUGACCUAAUUUUCAUUUUUUGGACCAAGGAUCUUAAAUCAAAAGACCCUAGGUCUCUAUCACUUAUAGUUUACCAGUUAGAAAUGCAUAUCACUGAUAUCGUAUAUAAAAGGGGGAUAACUCUCAUAUGGGUCUCCGGAUAGCUUCCGUUGAAAUGAAACAGAACAUCCUAAGGAUAUAACGAGCAAUUUGGAAAAAUAAAUUUGUCGGUUUCUUAUACAGUUGCGAAGUAGUAGUGGCCACAAGAAAAACAGUGUUUGGGAGAUAACUCUUACAAGGUAAAGGUUUUUGUACGCGGUGUCAGUUUCAGAAGCGCAUUAACUGUUCGAUAUCAAUACCAAAAUCUAAGCGACAUCUUGUGAAACAAAAAACACGAAGGAAAAAAAGUUUGGCGGAAGAAAAAAAAAAAAAAAAAAAUAAUUAAAAACCAAUUGUUCAAAGAACAAUUGAAGGUCUUUCAACCAAUAAGGAUCUAUUUAGAUAUGAAAAUAUUAAAAUUCAGUUGAAAAUGUCAGUUCGUAUGGCUUAAUGAUGUAUAAAUAUGAAUUUUAAGCAAAGGUCAAAAUCUAGAACGUCCAAUUAACCUAUGACCUUGACCUCAAUUUCAAGGUCAUAGACUAAACAUCUCAAAUAAAAAGACACUAGUUCCUUAAUAUGUAUGGUUCAUGAGUAAAAUCACUUUACGCAUAAUUCUUAAUAUAAGAGGGGCGAAAACUCCCUUUUAUUGUUUACGCACCCUCGCAACCAAAAUUUAUAAGUUACGACAUGUCGCAACUAACAAUUUAGUAAAAAAAAAUUGUCGAUAUCUUAUAAGUUAAUGAAAAUAAGUGAAAAUAAGCCAAAAUCAAAAUUUAGAAUUUGACCUUGACCUUUGACCUUGACCUAAUUUUCAUUUUUUUGGACCAAGGAUCUUAAAUCUAAAGACCCUAGGUCUCUAUCACUUAUGGUUUACCAGUUAGAUAUGCAUAUCACUUAUAUCAUAUAAAAAGGGGGGAUAACUCUCAUAUGGAGUCUCCGUAUAGCUUCGGUCAAAAUAAAACAGAUCAUCCUGAGGACUGAACGAGCAAUUUGGAAAAAUAAAUUUGUCGGUUUUUUAUACGGUUGCAAAGCCUUAGAGGACACAAGAAAAACAGUGUUUGGGGAGAUAACUCUUACAAGGUGAAAUUUUUUGUUACGCGGUGUCAGUUUCAGAAGCGUAUUAACUGUUCGAUAUCAUAUACCAUAUAUCUAAGCGACAUCUUGUGAAACAAAAAAACAGCGAAGGAAAAAAAAGUUGGCGGAAGAAAAAAAAAAAAAAUAAUAAUAAUAAUAAUAAUAAUCAGAACGAAUUCAAUAGGUCUUUCAACAGAAAGGUUGAAAGACCUAAUAAUAAUAAUAAUAA